rnacentral:rRNA from 1 species
GAGGAAUAUUGGUCAAUGGGCGCAAGCCUGAACCAGCCAUCCCGCGUGCAGGAAGACGGCGCUAUGCGUUGCAAACUGCUUUUCCAGGGAGAGAAACUUGCGCACGUGUUGCGCAAUUGACGGUACCCUGGGAAUAAGCAUCGGCUAACUCCGUGCCAGCAGCCGCGGUAAUACGGAGGAUGCGAGCGUUAUCCGGAUUCAUUGGGUUUAAAGGGUGCGUAGGCGGACUAUUAAGUCAGUGGUGAAAUCCUGCAGCUUAACUGCAGAACUGCCAUUGAUACUGAUAGCCUUGAGUUUGGUUAAGGUAGGCGGAAUGUGUAAUGUAGCGGUGAAAUGCUUAGAUAUUACACAGAACACCAAUUGCGUAGGCAGCUUACUGAGCCGACACUGACGCUGAGGCACGAAAGCGUGGGGAUCGAACAG